rnacentral:rRNA from 1 species
GACGGGGGAUGCAAGCGUUAUCCGGAAUCACUGGGCGUAAAGCGUCUGUAGGUGGUUUAAUAAGUCAACUGUUAAAUCUUGGGGCUCAACCUCAAAAUCGCAGUCGAAACUAUUAGACUAGAGUAUAGUAGAGGUAAAGGGAAUUUCCAGUGGAGCGGUGAAAUGCGUAGAGAUUGGAAAGAACACCGAUGGCGAAGGCACUUUACUGGGCUAUUACUGACACUCAGAGACGAAAGCUAGGGGAGCAAAUAGG